CUACGGGUCGCUGCAGUGAGGAAUUUUGCGCAAUGGGGGAAACCCUGACGCAGCAACGCCGCGUGAGCGAAGAAGGCCCUCGGGUCGUAAAGCUCUGUCAAGUGGGAAAAAAAUUUUUUGAUCAAUAGUCAAAAGACUUGAUGGUACCACUGGAGGAAGCACCGGCUAACUCGCGUGCCAGCAGCCGCGGUAAUACGGAGGGUGCAAGCGUUGUUCGGAUUUACUGGGCGUAAAGAGCGUGUAGGCGGUUUAGCAAGUCAGAUGUGAAAGCCCUGGGCUCAACCCGGGAAGUGCAUUUGAAACUGCUUCACUAGAGUAUGGGAGAGGAGAUUGGAAUUCCUGGUGUAGAGGUGAAAUUCGUAGAUAUCAGGAGGAACACCCGUGGCGAAGGCGAUUCUCUGGACCAAUACUGACGCUGAGACGCGAAAGCGUGGGGAGCAAACAGGAUUAGAUACCCCGGUAGUC
rnacentral:rRNA from 1 species